GAUGAACGCUGACAGAAUGCUUAACACAUGCAAGUCAACUUGAAUUUGGGUUUUUAACUUAGAUUUAGGUGGCGGACGGGUGAGUAACGCGUAAAGAACUUGCCUCACAGCUAGGGACAACAUUUAGAAAUGAAUGCUAAUACCUGAUAUUAUGAUUUUAAGGCAUCUUAGAAUUAUGAAAGCUAUAAGCACUGUGAGAGAGCUUUGCGUCCCAUUAGCUAGUUGGAGAGGUAACAGCUCACCAAGGCGAUGAUGGGUAGCCGGCCUGAGAGGGUGAACGGCCACAAGGGGACUGAGACACGGCCCUUACUCCUACGGGAGGCAGCAGUGGGGAAUAUUGGACAAUGGACCGAGAGUCUGAUCCAGCAAUUCUGUGUGCACGAUGAAGUUUUUCGGAAUGUAAAGUGCUUUCAGUUGGGAAGAAAGAAAUGACGGUACCAACAGAAGAAGUGACGGCUAAAUACGUGCCAGCAGCCGCGGUAAUACGUAUGUCACGAGCGUUAUCCGGAUUUAUUGGGCGUAAAGCGCGUCUAGGUGGUUAUGUAAGUCUGAUGUGAAAAUGCAGGGCUCAACUCUGUAUUGCGUUGGAAACUGUAUAACUAGAGUACUGGAGAGGUAAGCGGAACUACAAGUGUAGAGGUGAAAUUCGUAGAUAUUUGUAGGAAUGCCGAUGGGGAAGCCAGCUUACUGGACAGAUACUGACGCUAAAGCGCGAAAGCGUG
rnacentral:rRNA from 1 species